UAUAUAUAAGUGUUAGUUGCACAAAAAAUUUUGAAUUUUUUAGUAAUAGGGGAAUUUAUUAUGUAUAA
rnacentral:tRNA from 1 species